CAAAAAAGACAAAAAAUGUUAUAUGGAGAAGACUGAUUACCAACCCGGGUCAAAAUCAGACCCUCAAGCACAAAACCAAGCUUCAAUAAUGAUUCUAGGAUUCUUUAGUUGAUUGGGAGUGGAAUUGAAGAAAAGACUUGAUAGAAUUUUUAUGAACAUUCAUUUUGAGGGAUUUGGUUCAAUAAUGACUUUGUAAGAGCUUUGCAAAGUUGAUGUUGUUUUCAAUGACAUUGAUUUUUGGAAAAUAAAAUAGGAUUGAUGUUUUGGGCAAUUUUAGGAGUUUAGUAAUAGAUCUACUACUGAAAUUUUUUGGAUUUGUAGAUGAAGUUGUACUUGAUGUAUGUUAUGAAUUUGGGUUUGAUUAAAUAAUAAGAUUGAAAAGCAUGAAGGUUUUUGUGGAUUAAGGUCUUGGAAUUCUUGGAUUUUGAAGACCAGUGAGGUUUUCUUAGAUAUCUAUCAAUCCGCCAAUUAAAUUGAGGCAAAUUUUUUUCACAAAAGUAGUCAACUUAAUUUCUAAUAAGUAUAUAAAUUUUAGAAGCAAAGUAAUGGUUUAAUUAGGAAUAAUUGGCUUUAGGAAAUUAACAUCCAAGUCGGAGAAGGAGGCCAAGCAAUAUCCAAGGACAUUUUUAAGGUUAUCGUCUAUUUGGUUUUUUUGAUCUUUUUUAAUUUUUUUUGUACUUUUUUUCAACUUAAUUUUUAGAAGUGUCCAAAAUUUAAGUUAAAAUCAAAAAUUUAUUUAUUAAUUAUUGGAGUUUAAAUUUAUUAUAUGAAUUACUUGAAAUUUAUUAAGGUUUGAUUUAAGGAUUUGGUUUAGGAUUAGGAUUAGGAUUUUAGAUUGAUUUAAGGUUUGUUUAGGAUUAGGAUUUUAUUAAAAUUAGAAUUAGGACUUUGGAUUUGUUUUAAGGUUUGAUUCAAUCUUAAAUUAGGUUUAGGAUUUCAUUAGGCUUUGAGUAGAGUUUGUCUAGGAUUUGGUUAGGUUUAUUUACGAUUUGAUUAGGUUUAUUUAGGAUUUGAUUAGGAUUCAAUUAAGAUUUAACUAGGAU
rnacentral:lncRNA from 1 species